rnacentral:rRNA from 1 species
CAACUCGACUGCGUGAAGGUGGAGUCGCUAGUAAUCGCGGAUCAGCAACGCCGCGGUGAAUGCGUUCCCGGGCCUUGUACACACCGCCCGUCAAGUCAUGAAAGUGGGCAGCACCCGAAGACGGUGGCCUAACCCUUGUGGGGGGAGCCGUCUAAGGUGAGGCUCGUGAUUGGGACUAAGUCGUAACAAGGUAAC